rnacentral:rRNA from 1 species
UGGGGAAUCUUGGACAAUGGGGGCAACCCUGAUCCAGCCAUGCCGCGUGGACGAUGAAGGCCCUAGGGUUGUAAAGUCCUUUCACCGGUGAAGAUAAUGACGGUAGCCGGAGAAGAAGCCCCGGCUAACUCCGUGCCAGCAGCCGCGGUAAUACGGAGGGGGCUAGCGUUGUUCGGAAUUACUGGGCGUAAAGCGCGCGUAGGCGGACUGAUCAGUCAGGGGUGAAAUCCCGGGGCUCAACCCCGGAACUGCCUUUGAUACUGUCAGUCUUGAGUCCGGAAGAGGCGAGUGGAAUACCGAGUGUAGAGGUGAAAUUCGUAGAUAUUUGGAGGAACACCAGUGGCGAAGGCGGCUCACUGGCUCGAUACUGACGCUGAGGUGCGAAAGUGUGGGGAGCAAACAGGAUUAGAUACCCUGGUAGUCCACACCGUAAACGAUGAAUGCCAGUCGUCGGGUAGCAUGCUAUUCGGUGACACACCUAACGGAUUAAGCAUUCCGCCUGGGAGUACGGUCGCAAGAUUAAAAGCUCAAAUGAAUUGACGG